rnacentral:rRNA from 1 species
UACGAAGGGGGCGAGCGUUGUUCGGAUUUACUGGGCGUAAAGGGCGCGUAGGCGGCGGGUCAAGUCGAGUGUGAAAGCCCCGGGCUCAACCUGGGAAUUGCGCUCGAGACUGGUCUGCUUGAGUUCGGGAGAGGAGCGUGGAAUUCCCAGUGUAGAGGUGGAAUGCGCAGAUAUCAGGAGGAACACCAAUAGCGAAGGCAGCUCGCUGGGACGGUACUGACGCUGAGGCGCGAAAGCGUGGGGAGCGAACAGG